GAUGAACGCUGGCGGCGUGCUUAACACAUGCAAGUCGAACGGAAAGGCUCCUGCUUGCAGGGGUACUCGAGGGGCGAACGGGUGAGUAACACGGGGGUGAUCUGCCCUGCACUUCGGGAUAAGCCGGGGAAACUGGGUCUAAUACCGGAUAGGACCACAUUUUGGAUGGUGUGGUGGAGAGUUUUUGGGUGUGGGAUGGGCUCGCGGCCUAUCAGCUGGUUGGUGGGGUAAGGGCCUACCAAGCCGUCGCCGGGUAGCCGGCCUGGGAGGGUGUACGGCCCCAUUGGGACUGAGAUCCGGCCCAGACUCCUACGGGAGGCAGAAGGGGGGAAUAUUGCACAAUGGGCGCAAGCCUGAUGCAGCGACGCGGCGUGGGGGAUGACGGCCUUCGGGUUGUAACCUCCUUCCGCUAGGGACGAAGCGCAAGUGACGGUACCUGGAGAAGAAGCACCGGCUAACUACGUG
rnacentral:rRNA from 1 species